GACGGAGGAUGCAAGUGUUAUCUGGAAUCACUGGGCGUAAAGCGUCUGUAGGUGGUCAAAUAAGUCAACUGUUAAAUCUUGAGGCUCAACCUCAAAAUCGCAGUCGAAACUAUUCGACUAGAGUAUAGUAGGGGUAAAGGGAAUUUCCAGUGGAGCGGUGAAAUGCGUAGGGAUUGGAAAGAACACCGAUGGCGAAGGCACUUUACUGGGCUAUUACUAACACUGAGAGACGAAAGCUAGGGUAGCAAAUGGG
rnacentral:rRNA from 1 species